rnacentral:rRNA from 2 species
ACUUAAUCUAACCUAUGGACGGGGAUAACCUCCAGGAAACUGAGAAUAAUCCCCUAUAGAUCACAGUGCCUGGAAUGGCCGUGUGGUUCAAAUGAUUUAUCGCCUUAUGAUGGGACUGCAGUCCUAUCAGCUAGUUGGUGAGGUAAUGGCCCACCAAGGCUAUAACAGGUACGGGCUCUUACAGGAGGGGCCCGGACAUGGGUACUGAGACACGGACCCUGGCCCUAUGGGGCGCAUCACGCGAGAAACCUUUGCAAUGUGCGAAAGCACGACAAGGUUAAUCCGAGUGUCUCCUGCUAAAGGAGUCUUUUGCCGGUCAUAGAACCACCGGUGAAUAAGGGGUGGGCAAGUUCUGGUGUCAGCCGCCGCGGUAAAACCAGCACCUCUAGUGUUCCGGAGGUUUAUUGGGCCUAAAGUAUCCGUAGCCGGCUGCUCAAGUUUUCGGUUAACUCUAUGCGCUUAACUUAUAGGCCGCCGAAUAUACUGGGCAUCUAGGGAGUGGGAGAGGUAGACGGUACUCCUUACGAAGGGGUAAAAUCCUUUGAUCUAUUGAUGAUCACCUGUGGCUAAGGCGGUUUCCAGAACACGAUUCGACGGUGAGGGAUGAAAUCUGGGGGAGUAUACCGGAUUACAUACCCGGGUAGUCCCAGCUGUUAACGAUGCAGACUCGGUGAUGCCUUGGCUUGUGGUCAAUGCAAUGCCACAUGUAACGCGUUAUGUCUGCCUCCUGGAAAGUACUUACGCCAGUAUGAUACUUAG